rnacentral:rRNA from 1 species
AAUGGGCGAAAGCCUGACGGAGCAAUACCGCGUGAGGGAGGAAGGCUUUUGGGUUGUAAACCUCUUUUUUCAAGGAAGAAGAUAUGACGGUACUUGAGGAAUAAGCAUCGGCUAACUCCGUGCCAGCAGCCGCGGUAAUACGGAGGAUGCAAGCGUUAUCCGGAAUGAUUGGGCGUAAAGCGUCUGCAGGUGGCUAUGCAAGUCUGCUGUUAAAGAGUGGAGCUCAACUCCAUAAGGGCAGUGGAAACUGCGUGACUAGAGUACGUUCGGGGUAGAGGGAAUUCCUGGUGUAGCGGUGAAAUGCGUAGAUAUCAGGAAGAACACCGGUGGCGAAAGCGCUCUACUAGGCCGUAACUGACACUGAGAGACGAAAGCUAAGGGAGCGAAUGGGAUUAGAUACCCCAGUAGUCUUAGCCGUAAACGAUGGAUACUAGGCGUUGCUUGUAUCGACCCGAGCCGUGCCGAAGC